rnacentral:rRNA from 1 species
GAUGAACGCUGGCGGCGUGCUUAAUGCAUGCAAGUCGAACGAGAACCUUUUUGUAGGUAACUACAGAGAGACUUCUAGUGGCGAACGGGUGAGUAACACGUGAGAAACCUGCCCCGAAGACCGGGAUAGCCCAUGGAAACGUGGAUUAAUACCGGAUACCCUCACGGAAUCGCAUGGUUCUGUGAGGAAAUGCUCCGGCGCUUUGGGAUGGUCUCGCGGCCUAUCAGCUUGUUGGUGAGGUAACGGCUCACCAAGGCACUGACGGGUAGCUGGUCUGAGAGGACGAUCAGCCACACUGGGACUGAGACACGGCCCAGACUCCUACGGGAGGCAGCAGCAGGGAAUAUUGCACAAUGGGCGCAAGCCUGAUGCAGCGACGCCGCGUGAGGGAUGAAGGCUUUCGGGUUGUAAACCUCUUUCAGUGGGGAAGAAGCGCAAGUGACGGUACCCACACAAGAAGGCCCGGCCAACUACGUG